rnacentral:rRNA from 1 species
AUUGAACGCUGGCGGCAGGCUUAACACAUGCAAGUCGAGCGGGGGAAGGUAGCUUGCUACCGGACCUAGCGGCGGACGGGUGAGUAAUGCUUAGGAAUCUGCCUAUUAGUGGGGGACAACAUCUCGAAAGGGAUGCUAAUACCGCAUACGUCCUACGGGAGAAAGCAGGGGAUCUUCGGACCUUGCGCUAAUAGAUGAGCCUAAGUCGGAUUAGCUAGUUGGGGGGGUAAAGGCCUACCAAGGCGACGAUCUGUAGCGGGUCUGAGAGGAUGAUCGGCCACACUGGGACUGAUGACCGGCCCAGAGUCCUACGGGAGGCAGCAGUGGGGAAUAUCGGAAAAUGGGGGGAACCCUGAUCCAGCCAUGCCGCGUGUGUGAAGAAGGCCUUAUGGUUGUAAAGCACUUUAAGCGAGGAGGAGGCUCUUUUGGUUAAUACCCAAGAUGAGUGGACGUUACUCGCAGAAUAAGCACCGGCUAACUCUGUGCCAGCAGCCGCCGUAA